GCUAUCACUUGAGGAUGAGUCCAUGGCCUAUCAGCUUGUUGGUGAGGUAAAGGCUCACCAAGGCGAUGACGGGUAGCUGGUCUGAGAGGACGACCAGCCACACUGGUACUGAGACACGGACCAGACUCCUACGGGAGGCAGCAGUGAGGAAUAUUGGUCAAUGGGCGGAAGCCUGAACCAGCCAUGCCGCGUGCGGGAUGAAGGCCCUACGGGUUGUAAACCGCUUUUCCCCGGGAAGAAUAACCCCGACGCGUCGGGGGAUGCCGGUACCGGGGGAAUAAGGAUCGGCUAACUCCGUGCCAGCAGCCGCGGUAAUACGGAGGAUCCGAGCGUUAUCCGGAUUUACUGGGUUUAAAGGGUGCGUAGGCGGCCCUGCAAGUCAGCGGUGAAAUGUGGCGGCUCAACCGUUUCGCUGCCGCUGAUACUGUGGGGCUUGGAUGCGGUCGAGGCGGGUGGAAUUCGUGGUGUAGCGGUGAAAUGCAUAGAUAUCACGAGGAGCGCCGAUAGCGAAGGCAGCUCGCCGGGCCGCGAUCGACGCUGAGGCACGAAAGCGUGGGGAUCAAACAGGAUUAGAUACCCUGGUAGUCCACGCCGUAAACGAUGAUGGCUGGGUGUGCGCCCGCGAGGGCGCGUGCCUGAGGGAAACCAUUAAGCCAUCCACCUGGGGAGUACGGCCGCAAGGCUGAAACUCAAAGGAAUUGACGGGGGCCCGCACAAGCGGAGGAACAUGUGGUUUAAUUCGAUGAUACGCGAGGAACCUUACCUGGGCUCGAACGCUUCUGGAAUCACGCCGAAAGGCGUGAGCCGGCAACGGCCGGGAGCGAGGUGCUGCAUGGUUGUCGUCAGCUCGUGCCGUGAGGUGUCGGGUUAAGUCCCAUAACGAGCGCAACCCCUACCGCCAGUUGCCAGCGGGUGAAGCCGGGGACUCUGGCGGGACUGCCGGCGUAAGCCGAGAGGAAGGCGGGGAUGACGUCAAAUCAGCACGGCCCUUACGUCCAGGGCUACACACGUGUUACAAUGGCCGGUACAGAGGGAGGCGACCCCGCGAGGGGGAGCGGAUCCCGAAAGCCGGUCGUAGUUCGGAUCGGGGUCUGGAACCCGACCCCGUGAAGCCGGAUUCGCUAGUAAUCGCGCAUCAGCCAUGGCGCGGUGAAUACGUUCCCGGGCCUUGCACACACCGCCCGUCAAG
rnacentral:rRNA from 1 species